GUGUGCGCGUCGCGUAACGUGUCAGUAUGCGGGAAUCUUCUUGCUUGGGUGGAAGGAUGGAGGAGUGAACAAAGAGAAGGAGUACAGACGUUAUCCAGCCUGCUUACUAAGAAAUAUCCUGAUGGCCUGAUUCAUUGCCUCUACAGCUGUGCUUGGCCACCCCCUGAGUUACCAGUGACCUAUUCUGCCACAUCCCAGGGAAAGGAGAGGGCAGAACCACCCCUCCUUAAAUCCAUACUCAUUGACAGUAAUAUUGAUGGUUGAUACUCUGAUCUUCAAUGUGUAUAGAUWCCUACUAACCAGCUUUGUAAGAACUACAGUAGGGUUGUACUAGCUAUGCUGAUGAUCAUKAAUGUUUUUUCCUCUGCAUCAGAUCUCACUGAAACUGGAUUCCCCAAGAGGCAUGCUGUUCAGCUGUCCAUGAUUGUYUGAACUUACACUCUUAGAAAAAAAAGAUGGUAUCUAGAACCUAAGUGUUCAUUGGCUGUCCCCA